rnacentral:rRNA from 1 species
ACCUACGGGAGGCUGCAGUGAGGAAUAUUGGUCAAUGGACGCAAGUCUGAACCAGCCAUGCCGCGUGGAGGAUGACAGCCUUCUGGGUUGUAAACUUCUUUUAUAUGGGAAGAAAAGUACGGUUUCUACUGUAUCCGACGGUACCAUAUGAAUAAGCACCGGCUAACUCCGUGCCAGCAGCCGCGGUAAUACGGAGGGUGCAAGCGUUAUCCGGAUUUACUGGGUUUAAAGGGUGUGUAGGCGGACAAUUAAGUCAGAGGUGAAAUCUCCGGGCUCAACCCGGAAACUGCCUUUGAUACUAUUUGUCUUGAAUUUCGUUGAGGUUGGCGGAAUAUAUCAUGUAGCGGUGAAAUGCAUAGAUAUGAUAUAGAACACCGAUUGCGAAGGCAGCUGGCUGAACGACGAUUGACGCUGAGGCACGAAAGCGUGGGUAGCGAACAGGAUUAGAUACCCUUGUAGUCC